CGGAGUGCUUGCACUCUGUGAAACAGAUACAGGCUAGCGGCGGACGGGUGAGUAACACGUGGGUAACCUGCCCAAGAGAUCGGGAUAACACCUGGAAACAGAUGCUAAUACCGGAUAACAACAGAUGAUGCCUAUCAACUGUUUAAAAGAUGGUUCUGCUAUCACUCUUGGAUGGACCUGCGGUGCAUUAGCUAGUUGGUAGGGUAACGGCCUACCAAGGCGAUGAUGCAUAGCCGAGUUGAGAGACUGAUCGGCCACAUUGGGACUGAGACACGGCCCAAACUCCUACGGGAGGCAGCAGUAGGGAAUCUUCCACAAUGGACGCAAGUCUGAUGGAGCAACGCCGCGUGAGUGAAGAAGGGUUUCGGCUCGUAAAGCUCUGUUGUUGGUGAAGAAGGACAGGGGUAGUAACUGACCUUUGUUUGACGGUAAUCAAUUAGAAAGUCACGGCUAACUACGUGCCAGCAGCCGCGGUAAUACGUAGGUGGCAAGCGUUGUCCGGAUUUAUUGGGCGUAAAGCGAGUGCAGGCGGCUCGAUAAGUCUGAUGUGAAAGCCUUCGGCUCAACCGGAGAAUUGCAUCAGAAACUGUCGAGCUUGAGUA
rnacentral:rRNA from 1 species